GACGAACGCUGGCGGCGUGCCUAAUACAUGCAAGUCGAACGAGAGCGACCGGUGCUUGCACUGGUCAAUCUAGUGGCGAACGGGUGAGUAACACGUGGGUAACCUGCCCAACAGAGGGGGAUAACAUCCGGAAACGGAUGCUAAAACCGCAUAGGUCCUCGAACCGCAUGGUUUGAGGAGGAAAAGAGGCGCUAGCUUCAGCUGACGGAUGGACCGGCGGUGCAUUAGCUAGUUGGUGAGGAAACGGUUCACCAAGGCCGUGAUGCAUAGCCGACCUGGGAGGGGGAUCGGCCACAUUGUGACUGAGACACGGCCCAAACUCCGACGGGGGGCAGCAGUAGGGAAUCUUCCGCAAUGGACGCAAGUCUGACGGAGCAACGCCGCGUGAGUGAAGAAGGUUUUCGGAUCGUAAAGCUCUGUUGUUAGGGAAGAACAAGUGCUAGAGUAACUGUUAGCGCCUUGACGGUAUCUAACCAGAAAGCCACGGCUAACUACGUG
rnacentral:rRNA from 1 species